rnacentral:rRNA from 1 species
CCUACGAGUGGCAGCAGUAGGGGAUUUUGCACAAUGGGCGAAAGCCUGACGCAGCAACGCCGCGUGAUUGAUUAAGCCCUUCGGGGGGUAAAGAUCUGUCAGUGGGGACGAAACUUGACGGUACCCACAGAGGAACCACCGGCUAACUCCGUUCCAGCAGCCGCGGAAAUACGGAGGGGGCAAGCUGUGUCCGGAAUCAUUGGGCGGAAAGGGUUCGAAGGUGGAAUUUUAAGUCUGGAGUGAAAUGCAGCAGCUCAACUUCGGUACGGCACUUGAGACUGGUAAGCUUGAAUGCGGUAGGGGUAAAGGGAAUUCCUGGUGUAGCGGUGAAAUGCGUAGAUAUCAGGAGGAACAUCGGUGGCGUAGGCGCUUUUCUGGGCCGUAAUUGACACUGAGGAACGAAAGCCUGGGUAGCAAAUGGGAUUAGAUACCCGGGUAGUC